rnacentral:piRNA from 1 species
UACAAUGGGUUUAGGUGGCUAUAGAUGG